GCCGGGGUGUUGGAAUGGCAGACAAUACGGACUUAAAAUCCGUUGCUCGUCAGAGCGUGAGGGUUCAACUCCCUCCCCCGGCA
rnacentral:tRNA from 1 species